ACUGGAGGCAGUCAGUAUAUACCAAAGGGACGUGGUAACACGCCGCAUUGUAAUUGAAGCUGGACUAGGGCACAGUUAGCACAUAGCUGAUUGUUCAGAUGGCAACACCCUUCACAAUGGCCAAUAAAGGUAUGUUCCUAUCCAGUCGUUUGCUUAAGAAAAGGUUCCGGUUUUCUGGAGAGGGAAAUUCGAAUGGUACUUGUUGGAAAGACUGGAGUAGGUAAAAGUGCCACAGGAAAUACAAUAUGUGGAGAACAGAUAUUCAAAGCAUCAGCGAGGGCAAAGUCUGUUACAGAGAUAUGUAAACAGCAUUCCUUCAACCGUUUUGGGUACGACUUGCAACUUGUUGAUGUCCCGGGCUUUUAUGACACAAACAGAUCACAUGAAGACAUCAAGCAAGAGAUCAUGAAAUGUGUGGGUAUGUCAUCUCCUGGAAUACACGCCAUUCUUUUCAUUUUGAGAAUAGGAAGAUUCACCGAAGAAGACAAAAAUACACUUGAAACGUUCCUGCAGUGGUUUGGACAAGAAGCUAAAAGAUUCGUCAUUGUUGUAUUUACUGGGAAGGAUGACUUGGAAAGG